ensembl:lncRNA
CUCGUCUCGUCGUGCUUGCUUUUGGAUGGUCUCACUGCUGCUCCCGACUGCACGCAAGGCUUCAGUAUUAGUGAUAAGGUAGGGCAAAGAGUUAGAGUACAGCUGGGGCAUAGGAUAUUCCAGCUCUUUCACUGAGUGGCACAGGAAUUGUAGAAGAUACCUCUGUGAUCACAUUUCAAGAGCACAGGUUAAAAGAAAAAGGAAAGAAAGAAGAAAAUCAUCAAAAGGUGAAGCCAAACUACUUACUUGAGCAGUUCCAUUCAGCUGGGAGAAUAUAAUCUUCUUUUUUUUUUUUUUUUUUUUAACUCCAGAAAAUAAUUCUUAAAAUCAUUAAUUUAAGAGGCACUCUCCUUUGUGUUCUACUGUCACCAUACUUUCCGCAGCUUUGAGGUCAAAGAGGCAAACAGCUGUGGCAAAUGAAUCCAAGCAAGCAGCCUGGUACUUCGUCAUGGGGAAGAAAUAGAUUGUGGCAAGGCAUCUGUAAAAUUUCCCUAAGGCCAUCAUGAUACAGUAGCUUAAAAAUGACAUAUAGCUUUGCAGUCUCAAAGUGAUCAUUUAGAUUAGGUUAACAGAAAGAAUGUUCUUUGUAACGAUGAGAACAACAAACGCCAACCAAGAAAUAUCGAUGUUUCAGCAGAAACACUUACUUAAAUUGCAUUUGGUCACCCCCCACGGAGAGGAGAGGAAACCUUUUAG